GUGGGUUUGUAAGUCGGGCGUGAAAUCCCUCGGCUUAACCGAGGGACUGCGUCCGAAACUGCAUGGCUUGAGGACGGAAGGGGAAGGUGGAAUUCCUGGUGGAGCGGUGAAAUGCGUAGAUAUCAGGAGGAACGCCGGUGGCGAAAGCGGCCUUCUGGUCCGUUUCUGACGCUGAGGUGCGAAAGCUAGGGGAGCAAACAGGAUUAGAUACCCUGGUAGUCCUAGCCGUAAACGAUGGGCACUAAGUAGAGGGG
rnacentral:rRNA from 1 species